rnacentral:rRNA from 1 species
UCAAGAAUAUUCGACAAUGGGCGAAAGCCUGAUCGAGCGACGCCGCGUGCAGGAAGAAGCCCCUCGGGGUGUAAACUGCUUUUCUCAGGGAAGAAUUUGUGACGGUACCUGAGGAAUAAGAGGUUGCUAACUCUGUGCCAGCAGCAGCGGUAAUACAGAGACCUCAAGCGUUAUCCGGAUUCAUUGGGCGUAAAGCGUCCGCAGGUGGUUUGAAAAGUUAAUAGUCAAAUCUUGAGGCUUAACUUCGAGGCUGCUAUUAAUACUAUCAAACUAGAGACUGGGAGAGGCAAGCGGAACUAUCGGUGUAGUCGUAAUAAGCGCUGAUAUCGAUAGGAACACCAAAGGCGAAGGCAGCUUGCUAGAACAGUUCUGACACUCAUGGACCAAAGCGUGGGUAGCGAAAGGG